GCUCUCAUCAUAUUCAUUCUCUGCUGUCACUACUUCAUCUCUCUCUUCGUCAGCGGGCAGGAGGAGGUGGAAUAUUGCCCCCCCUAACAGGGGCAGGAUAUCCUUCGUCCAAGUGAGGAGGACUUCAGCAGUGUCCGUCACGCCGAUAGCAGACACUGACAGCAUCACACACGGAGAGCAGGAGCCAGCAAUCAGCAUCGGCAACCCGGGCUUCACCACCACAUUCAUCCUCUGAAAGACGACCACAAUGACAGACAUUAGCGAGGGGGAAGCGGUUAAGUACGGAUCAACAUAACCGAGAAGGAAGAGUGAGCGGAAAUACACAAAAUCCAUAUCAACAAAGACUAAAGGGAGCACAUUUCCCCACCACAAGGUCAGAGUUCAUUCUCCUGUGUGUCAAAGCCUGCCCAAGUGUCCUUGAGCAACACAUGAAUGCAUCCAUCACUUAUCAGAACUGAGUAACUGAUUCGGUCUUCAUUUUUAUAGACAUGCAACGUGGAUAUUCUCCCAAAGACAGCGGAAACAGAUAGACUACGGUUAGAAAGUUUCUUAUGGCAGAUAAAAUUCUUCAUAUCUGUUUGCAUGAUUGCAAUCCUCAUUACCGUAUAUUCAUGUGCAUGCAAGAGAUUGGUUAAUAACUAACCGUUUAACCAUGAAGCAUUUUGACCGAAUACUUGCAGUUACUGUUCAAUCAGUUAAAUGGUAAAACAAUAUAUAUAUAUUAAUGUUAAAAAAUAUAUAUAUUUAAAAGUUUGUUGCAUGGUAAAAGAAAAAUAGGCUUAAAAUCUAUUCUUAAUCCUUCAGGCUGGGUUGCAAUAGAAUCAAGAACUCUGAAAAAGUAACUAAUCCACUCAUCCCGGAUAGCAAAUAGUCAUUGAAACGAUGUUAAAUCAACAUCCUGCUGUCAACGAUAAAGUCAUUGAAUCAACGUUGAACUCUGAUGUUGAUUCUUCGUCAUGUUGCACCCUCUAUUAUCAUUGAAACAACGUUUAAAUCAUACUUAGAGAUCAACAGGAUUUCAAUGGUAUUUUGAUUACAGUGGAUAUUGAAACGUUGUUGAAAUCCCAGCAUAUCAACGAAACUUCAAUGGUAUUUUAGUAGCCUAUACCACAGGUUUAAUCUAAAAAUGUAGGCUAUAAAUUAAUAUAUAAAACAGUAUUAGGCUAUUAUAAUCCUGCUUAUCGACAGCCAGGAUGGGCUAUGAGCAAAAUAUAGAAACUAUGGCAGACUAGCCUUCUGCCUAGACUUUCUAGCACAAAUGACACCCCACGCAUUUAAAAAAAAAAUUCAACCGUUUUUAUUGUAUUCUUUUCUUUUUAUUUUUAUUUUAACGCGCUAUAUCAGGGUCGGUCUUCCAGCUCCCCCUGCCCAGUCUGGGGCAUAGCGCAGCCACUUCUGCACUGCUUGACAAAAUUCAUAGGCAUUUGCCGUACUCAAUCGUUGAGUCAGGGCAUCUAAAAUAGAAAACAAGCAAAAGCACAUUUUAGUUUAACAUUAAUGGUAGACUUCUGACUGUGAAGGAUAUAAACUUGAUAAUGUAGAAAAAAGUGUGUGUGUGUGUGUGUGUGUGUGUGUGUGUGUGUGCGUGUGUGCGCGCGUGUGGCAUAGCUACUGUUUGCCCAGGUUUUCCCCUCAUGCGCCCUUCAGUUGGAAGAAUGACGUCACCAUAGGACCACGCUACUCUCUUCUCUGAAUCACGUUUCAGGUGUGAUCACUCUUUGAUUGGCGCUAGCUUGACUGUCAAAUAUGUGUGAUGGAUGCUGGUCUGAUAUUUUUCCACUUUGGUCUGAAGCGUCACUGAGGUAAUUUGUGGGAGAUGGGACCCAACAAAACUUUGUAUCUGGAAACAUUAACUGUAUCACCUCUGCUUCCUCCAGCUCCUCCAUGCUGUGCAGAGGCAGUUGCAGUGGCUCUGCCGUCAAGCCCACCACCCCAGCACUUUGGCCACAUCUACAGGACUGGCGGAACUCACGGAAGUCCUGCCACAGGUCCCUCACCUCCUUCGUCAACUCUGUGACAGUGAGAAAUUGGCUGCAGACCGGGGAGUACUGGUAGCAGCCACUGGCAAAAAUGACUGGAGGGGAAACUGAAAAUCUUCUGCAGGGAAGAGGCUAUUGGCACUCCUCCACCGAUUGGAUGUCGGUAGUGUUGCAUUGCUGCUUCAAAUACCUUUCCAGGCACCUCUCUGCUUCCUCAAAUGUAUCUGCAGACACAGAGAUGUUAUGAAAUACUGAUACAAAGGGCUAUGAUACAAUUUCAACCAGAUUUAAUAAUACCCACCUCGGCUUAUGAGGACCCUGACAGGCUCAUAAGUCUGCCAUUCCUCCGUUGGUUCAUCCCUCCUCUUGAUGGCAGCACAAACCUUGCCCGACUCUUUUGGAGGGUAUGGAGGCCAGAAAACCUUCUCCCCCUGAAGCCAUAUGUGUGGCACAAGUUCUGUUCCACCACUAUUGAACUUCACAAGGCACCACUGCUUCAUACUAUUUGUUUAUGGUAAAGAUAAUGGUUGGUUAUUAACACAUGAACUGAUUUUAUGAACUGAUUUUUAUGAACUGAUUUUAUGAACUGAUUUCACGAAAUUAUUUACUUUGUAUGUAUGAGGGGAAUGGCAAUGAACUCUAUUUUAUUGGGGAAAAGUAUAUAUUUUGUUUUAAUUAUUUGGAGCUUUACAACACCGACACAGCUGCUAAGUCCCACACUUUGUAACAGUUGAUGUUUGCUGAUUCAAAAGGGGUAAUGGACAUUCCUUGUAAAUUUCCGGAAAAUCACAUGUUUCCUGAGCUUCUUUGACUAUGUUGUCAACAAGAGCGAUGUCAUCAACUAUCUGAAUGCAAUUAUCCCCAGACCUACAUGAUAAGGUGAAAUGUUUAGUUACAACCUUUCUAUACUGCUCCCCAUGUUCUAUAUGAGACACCAAUGGGCCAUCAUAAGGUGGUGCAUGAAUUUGAGGCUUUUGUUGAUUUGGGAUGUCUGAGGGUCUCUUUCAGAAAGCCUUUCAACCAUUUGCUGUAAAUGCAAAUGAGGUUUGCGCAGUAAAUGUUUUAGUUGGGCCAAAUAGUUCUCAUAAGGAAAGGCAGCAAUAUUAUCUAAGGGACCAUAGAGAUGAUAUUCUGCUGCCAGGUGUGUCAGCUGGUGGACAUUGUAAGUAAUUUCAGAUCUGCCAUAUAGCUGCCCAAAGUGACUCACAAAUGAAAUUAGCAAUUUGUGGGCACAGUCCACAAUUUUCUCUGAUGUACCAGGAGAUAAAAGGAGAUGCAUAGCAAAAGAAAACAACAUAAAGUUGUUAAACAUCUCCAGGGGAAUCGUAUCUCUCAGCACUACAGGGCCAGCGUAUAGCAUAAAAUACCGGAGUUCAGUUGUUUUCCACCUAUCAAUUUCUGAGAGUUCUCUGGGUUUGCGACUGAACUCAGUGGGAGUGUAAGGUGUCAGUGCCUUCAACUUCACAGAAAUCUCCCCAAUUGUUUUACUGCCCAAACUAGUUGCAAGACAUUUGCCCCUCAUCCAAAUAUACAGAAGCUUCCUGGUUACCCCAAGACAACAUAAAUGCAUAUAGUCUAAUGGGAACAUUGUCACCAUUUUCACAACGCCAACUAGGGGAGAUGGUGUUCGACUCAAGUGGUGGUCCUCAUCAGUCAUGGAGGCGAAAUCUGUGUCAGUUCUUAAUUUAGCAUUGACAUCAGGAAAGGUCAUUUUGCCCUGCCAUUCACCCACUUGAAAGCGUUUAUCGCAACCAGAGUAACCAUUGUGUGUUUUUAACGAAGGCUCGUGCCAUUAGCCAUUAGCUGCUGCCCAUUAUAAAUUAUACCUCUCUGCAAAAUGUCUUUAAGGUCCUCAAUAAAUGUGCCCAAGAAUUCAGAUGGACUUUUAGGCUUGCUAAGGCCACAGAACAGGCCAACAAGGAAGGGAGAUCUGGUGUAAUCCACAUUUACCAUAGCAAGAAUUAGCCAGAACUGAAGUCUACUGCUUCUGAAUAGUGGUAAUCCAUCUAUAUUGAACUGCAACUUAAGUGUGUUCAAGUUGGCAGGUAGAGUCAAAGAUUUAAGCCUCGACAUCAACCCACUGGCUAUGCCAAAGUGAUAGUAUUCCCCACCCUCCAUCUUGCUAGUUAUUAUUUGACCUUGCGUCCUCAGAACUGUCCGAGCAUCUUUAGGCAAUUCUGGAUGAAACGCGCAAAAUGCUCAAAAGUGCAGUUAGUGCCACUUGAGAGACUGAAAAUGUAGAAGCCCAAAAUCUCAGACUCAUCAUCAAAAACUCUGUAGUGGGAGUUUCAGUAUCAUCUGAAUCAAUGUAAUGAGCUGUGUCUAUUGACUCAUGAGUUUCACUGAAUUCUGAACUCGGCUCAUAGUUCCCUAUAACUGGUAGCUCCUCUACAACUGAGUGGCUAGAGGUUGAAACAGUUGGAUCCACUACUUCCCUUGGGAACUCUACGCGUUCUGAUGCUGUGUCAGUGUUGCCUUGCAUAUUUGUAUCAUUAAAGGUCUCCUCAAACUGCUGUAGUAUCUCGGACUCUGUGGCCUCAAGCAUUGACCUACAUUUGCGCCUCUUUGACCAGCUUGAUGCCAUUGUGAGUGCAGUGGUGUGCAGAUUCAGAAACUGAUAUUAAAAAGAUUCUCAGAUGAGUCUUAUUAUACAAAAACUUGCUUACUUGAUAAACGAUGUGGAUUAAUGAUCUGAAAAAAGAACAAAAAGUAAAUUACAGUGUCAGUAAACAGCAAUUUAAUUCAGAAUCAACCACUGCCCUGAUUAUUUAUCCACAAAGCAGAUGAUAACAUGUUCUUUUAAACUGGGCUUGCAAAAGUUUUUCUAAAAACCGAACAAUUUUCGUUCAUGAAUAAUUAACUUUGUUCACUACAGUGUGUGUGCCGUCCACGGUACAGUGAUUAUACAAUAAUAUUGUUGAAAAUAUACAUUAAAAUAAAUAAAUCAUAUAUUUGAAGUAUCUCUUUUUAGUUUAUUAACAUUAAUCAUCAAUUACAACGUUGUAAACUCUGAAUAUUAAAUUAGCCGACUUUGUUUUUAGAUUGAUUACCAAUGGAACUUUCUGACAAUCGUAACACAGCAACACACACGGGCUGCCUACUAGCCUAAUGGUUAUGGGGAAAACCUAGAGGAAAACCCAUGAACAGUAAAAAAAACCC